rnacentral:lncRNA from 1 species
CGAGAGUGCUGGUAGUUGUGAGAGAACAACUACCGCUGUGCAUGACCAACAUGAAAAGUCACAUGGAUGUCUGCUCACUCAUUAGUGACUCUCUCGAUGCUAUAGUAGUAUGACUGAUUCUUUGACCUACAGUAAUACAGUUGCUCGUAGUGAGACUGCUGGAGUUUAACUACAUAUAAACAUUGACUCAAUGAGUCCUUAUAGUGGAUGUUGGCGAUA